UCUCCCUCCAUCAGUUGUGGUGUUAUCUCAUCAGUGGAGGGAACAUCAGUAUUCACCUUCCAGUGUGCAGGCAUGGAAGGUCGCUACGUCAUUGUGACCAUUCCAGGAGACAGGAAGAUUCUGACGCUAUGUGAAGUGAAUGUGUAUGCUUCUCUGGCAGGUAUGGUCUUUGAAUAAUAUGUCCAAUAGAUGGAAAUCAACCAAAAACAUAGAAAACAAGCUAUCAAAUACUUUUAUAUAUUGACGUGGUUCUGUUUCUUAUAUUGUUGGCUUAUGAAGCUAAUGUUGUUGCUGCUGUUGUUGCUGCUACAAUGUCUAAAGUCAGAUACAGCUGGUGAGCAACAAAUGAGAUGUUUACUAUUGAUUUUAACUUUUUCCAUUACUUAAAGAGUACUACGUCAGAAAAAAAUAAAAUCAUAUCUUGGUACAAUGUGAAUUGAUUCCAGUGACUUUUUGGCUACACGGUCAGGUGCUGACCUUCUGACUUUUCUCCCUAUCUUUUCAUUUUGAAACCAAAUCUCCCCAGGCUUGUCUUGACAUUUCAAGACAAGCCUGUUUUUAAAACAACAAUCAAAUGUGAAUUAAGCCAACAGAAACCAACAACAUUCUUUCUCUCCAGAGCCAGAAGUCACUUUUUCUCCUACUACUGCUCCUCCUGCUGCUCCUCCUCCUCCCACUGUGAGCAUUCUCCUGAGUGGCAGGAAUGCGACGGUGGUGGGGAAGAGGCUUUGCUGGUCCGAUGCUCUGUUCUACUGUAGACGUUACUACUGGGACCUGCUUAGCAUUUCCAACCAGGAAGAACAGAGUGAGGUGGAGCAGCUGCUGAACAGCAGUCCUUUCUCCCUCACACAGCAUGUCUGGCUGGGAUUGCGCAGGUACUCUACACUGACAUUGACAUUUUAGAGAUUUAGUUGAUGUUCUGAUUCAGGGCAGCUGUAAAAAUGAACAGAGACAUCAUGGACGACAGGUGGUUCUGGAUGUCUGGCGAUUCCAUGAAAUUUACUAAAUGGCCGCAAAAUCUGGCACCUCCCUUUUACUCCAAUCCCUGUGGAGGCAUGGCCAGUGGCGAGCUCUUCCUGUGGAAUGACCAGCCUUGUGGUGAGCUUUUCAACUUCAUCUGCCUAUCAGGUGCGAAGAGCAGAGCCCAAAGAGUGUAUUUCUACAGCACAAAACAAAGUCCUUAGUGAGGGUUAAAAAUAUUGGAACCUAUAGUUUUAAAAUAGAAAUAGCAAUUUCCUGCACUCCUUGCAAGAUAUCAACUAGUGUGUAUUUGUGUUUCUGCACAAAACAUAGAUCAGAGCCCAAAGUUUCAGUGUCAUUCACUGAUGCAUUCAUUUUCAUGCUCUUCAUAUGCAGAUUAGUGUCACUGAAAUCUCCCGUAACCAGACAUCUGUCUGAUGGAGGAUGGAGGAUGGAGGACUCCAUCUCUUCAGACACUGAGACUAAGAUUGUAAAAUCAUCUGAUAUCAGAUCAAAGUUUUUUUUCUACUCCCAUAUUCUGGAAUGAACUAAGUUGAAAUCAUACAUUAUAAUCCCAGCAUCAGUAGUGACAUUAGAAAAGUGUGAAAUUGCAUUCCUAUAAAUCCCUCUAUAUGAUGUGUUUUAUCGCUAAAUAAAUAUAUAUCGAGUAAAUGUACAGUACAUGUAGCUGUAAAGUUCCUUGUCUUAAUGUUUUAAUAUUUCAUCAUGUCAUCUGGUUUUAAUGUGAGAAAGACCUUGGAGAUGUGAAAUGCACAACUGAACUAUUAAUAGGUCACUGCAUCAACAGUAGUUAAAUUUGCAUUAAACAACAGAAAAUUCUGUAAUUGUCUGAUUGACCUCGAGGUAGGAAAGAAUAAUACAUUUCCAUACUGUGUUGGUGCAUCAUCAUAUGCUAAAAUAUGCAGUUUCUUUGUGGAAAUAAAGCUGAACGAUUGAACUCUUGAA